rnacentral:rRNA from 1 species
AUGGAAGGACAGCUGCGGAGAGCAAUGGCGGCCCGGUGGCCGUUGCUGCUUCUUCUGGGCAUCGCGGGCGGCGGCGGCGUUCUUCAAGUCCAUGGGCAGGUCGAUAACUUAGGUUUCAUAAACUUAGACUGUGGUCUGCCAGAGAGCGCCGCGGGCUACGUGGACGGCGUCACCAAGCUGCGCUUCACCUCGGACGGAGGCUUCAUCGACGCCGGCACCAACUACAACAUGUCAUCCGAGUACAUCACGCCGACGAUGGGCAGGAGCUGGCACAACGUGCGCAGCUUCGGCGGUGGCGCAGGCACGCGCAGCUGCUACACGCUCCAGUCCCUCGUGGCCGGGCUCAAGUACCUCAUCCGGGCCAAGUUCUGGUACGGCAACUACGACGGCCUCGACAGGGCGCCUGUCUUCGACCUGCAUGUUGGCGUCAACUACUGGACGACCGUGAACAUCUCGAACGCCAACACGCCGGUGAUCUAUGAGAUCAUCGCCGUCGUCCCUGGUGAGUCCGUGCAGGUUUGCCUCGUGAACACCGGCUCCGGGACGCCGUUCAUCUCGGCCCUCGACCUGAGGCCCCUCAAGAACGGGCUCUACCCGAUGGCCAACGCGACGCAGGGGCUGGUUCUUCUCAGCAGAGCCAACUUUGGCCGGGACGAUGGCGUGGUCCUUAGGUACCCCGACGACCCGCACGACCGCUUCUGGAUCCCAAUGAGCAAGCGGGCGGAGUGGACGGAGGUCUCGACGGCCAAGAAGGUGCAGAACAUCGACGACGACAGCUUCGACGCGCCGUCCGCCGUGAUGCAGACGGCCAUCACGCCCGUCAACUCCUCCAGCCCCGUCGUGUUCAGCUGGGACGCCGAGCCCAGCGCCAACAACCCAGAUCCCGGGUACAUCUGCAUCCUGCACUUCUCGGAGCUGCAGCCUCUCCCCGUCAACGCGGUGCGGCAGUUCUACGUCACCCUCAACGGCCAGCUCUGGCUCGGCAAGGGCUUCACGCCGCAGUACCUCUACACCAACGCCGUCUUCAGCAGCUUCCCCAACAACGGGCACCACCAGUACAACGUCUCGCUCAACGCCACCGCCAACUCCACGCUCCCGCCCAUCCUCAACGCCCUCGAGAUCUUCUCCGUCCUGCCCACCACCGGCAUAACCACGGCCACUCAGGAUGUGUCUGCCAUCGCGGCGAUCAGAGGCAAGUACCAGGUGAAGAAGAACUGGAUGGGCGAUCCCUGCGUGCCCAAGAAUUUCGCGUGGAAAGGAUUGGGUUGCAGCUAUGCUGUUUCCAGCCCACCAAGUGUCACAGGCUUGAAUCUAUCUUCCAGUGGCCUCAGCGGCAACUUGUCAUCUUCGUUUGCCGGCCUCAAAGGUCUACAGUACUUGGAUUUGUCACGCAAUAAUCUUACGGGCUCAAUUCCUGACACCUUCUCGCAGUUGUCGUCGCUCACACUUCUAGAUCUGACAGACAAUCUACUCAGUGGAUCAAUACCUCCUGGGCUUGUGAAAAGAACUCAAGAUGGCUCCCUAACACUUAGAUAUGGUAACAAUCCGAACCUCUGCAGCAGCGGAAACUAUUGUCAGCCUCCACAAAAGAAGAGAGGCUCUAUGGUUGCCGUCUAUGUUGUUGUUCCCAUAGUUGCAGUACUAGUGAUUCUGCUACUGUCAGUUCUCAUUUGCAUGAGAAGGAGAAGGCAAGGAAGGACAAGCGGCAAUAUCAAGCAACUAGAUGAGGUGAGUAUCAUGGGGCACAACUCGUUGCGACUUGAUAACCGCCGGUUCACAUAUAGUGAAUUAGAGGCCAUCACAAACGGCUUCGAGCGAGUAAUUGGUAAAGGGGGGUUUGGGAAAGUUUAUCAUGGUUCGUUGGAGAAUGGCACACAAGUGGCUGUCAAACUGCGGUCUGAAUCUUCAGAUCAAGGUGAACAAGAAUUCUUGGCAGAGGCUCAGACCUUGGCAAAAAUUCACCACAAGAAUCUUGUUUCCUUGAUUGGCUACUGCAAAGACAUGAAAUACAUGGCUCUUGUCUACGAGUACAUGUCUGAAGGAGCCCUAGACGAACAUCUUAGAGGGAAAGAUAACACCAUGAGAGCUUUAACCUGGAGACAAAGACUUCGUAUAUCCUUGGAAUCCGCACAAGGGCUUGAGUAUCUGCACAAGGGGUGUAACCCGCCCCUCGUUCACAGGGACGUGAAGACGUCAAACAUCUUGUUGAAUGCAAACCUGGAGGCUAAGAUUGCUGACUUUGGCCUACUCAAGGCUUUCAAUAGCAACAGCGAUACACAUGUUUCCACAGCAAGGGUGGUUGGCACACUCGGUUACCUUGACCCUGAGUACCAUGGUACAUUUCAGCUGACCAACAAGAGUGACGUCUUUAGCUUUGGGGUAGUGCUACUAGAGCUGGUCACAGGGCAACGACACAUCCUGAAUGACCCUGAGCCGACGAGCAUUGUUCAGUGGGUGCGGCAACGCCUUGCCCGUGGUAACAUCGAGGAUGUGGUGGAUGCGCGCAUGCGUGGUGAUUACGAUGUCAAUAGCGUGUGGAAAAUUGCAGACACCGCGUUGAAGUGUACAUCCCAGAAGCCUGGAGAGAGGCCCACGAUGACUGAAGUGGUAGCAGUGCUACAUGAGUGCCUUGAGCUCGAGGCUGCACACGACAAUGUGAAUGCAGGGUUUUACACGCCCGGGAGCGGUGGCAGCAUGAACGACUAUGGUCGGUACGACACUGGCAUGUCUACUGAUGUGAGCCAGAGCAGCACUGCAUUCGAGCAAGAGCAUUUGGGCAGGGUGUCUAUAGUGUCUACUGGUCCAGCUGUUAGGUGA